CAGUAGCCGCGGGAAUACGGAGGGGGCUAGCGUUGUUCGGAAUUACUGGGCGUAAAGCGCACGUAGGCGGCUUUGUAAGUUAGAGGUGAAAGCCCGGGGCUCAACUCCGGAAUUGCCUUUAAGACUGCAUCGCUUGAAUCGCGGAGAGGUGAGUGGAAUUCCGAGUGUAGAGGUGAAAUUCGUAGAUAUUCGGAAGAACACCAGUGGCGAAGGCGGCUCACUGGACGCGUAUUGACGCUGAGGUGCGAAAGCGUGGGGAGCAAAUGGGAUUAGAUACCCCCGUAGUCCCUGUCUCUUAUAC
rnacentral:rRNA from 1 species